rnacentral:rRNA from 1 species
ACGGGGUGCAGCAGGCGCGAAAACUCCGCAAUGCACGAAAGUGUGACGGGGCUACCCCGAGUGCCAUCCGCUGAGGAUGGCUUUUCCUUGGUGUAACUAGCCGGGGGAAUAAGGAGAGGGCAAGACUGGUGUCAGCCGCCGCGGUAAUACCAGCUCUCCGAGUGGUAGGGAUGAUUAUUGGGCUUAAAGCGUCCGUAGCCGGCUUAGCAAGUCUCCUGUUAAAUUCAGCGACCUAAUCGUUGAGCCGCGGGAGAUACUACUAGGCUAGGAGGCGGGAGAGGUCGACGGUACUUCUGGGGUAGGGGUGAAAUCCUAUAAUCCCGGGAAGACCACCAGUGGCGAAGGCUGUCGGCUAGAACGAGCCCGACGGUGAGGGAUGAAAGCUGGGGGAGCAAACCGGAUUAGAUACCCAGGUAGUCCCAGCUGUAAACGAUGCAGGCUAGGUGUUUGGACGGCCACGCGCCGUUCUAGUGCCGCAGGGAAGCUGUUAAGCCUGCCGCCUGGGGAGUACGAUCGCAAGAUUGAAACUUAAAGGAAUUGGCGGGGGAGCAC